CUCCAAUUUUCAUCAUCCAAAAGCCGAUAACUGAAAAAUGGCCUUUGUAUAAAAAUUCAUCUGGAUAUAGACUGAUUGACAUGGAUUUUACGUUGGCGUUCAAUAGUAUGUCAAGCAAGGAUGGAUUGUUGGAAGGAUGGGAUAAGUCAUGGGAAAAACUGUACUCGUUCCUAAAGAUAGAAAAUCACGUAAAGGAUAAAUCAGUUAAAACUUUGGUGGAAAAACUUAAUGAUUCGAUGAUGACCAUCUCAGAGAAUGGGCGUAAUGCUGCCUUAAUCUGGAUGUUACAUGGGUAUUUAGUGCCCACAACAAAAAUUGUUAAAAAAUAUUGUACAGGAAAAAAAAACAACUACCAAAUAUACCAUAAAAGACGCUCAAGAGUCAGUUAUCUACAUUGCAAGCAGUCUUAUGGAAAUCGAGGAGAGAAUAGACCACCUUAAAAAAAACAAAAGUAUUCCUACAGCCAUCCAUUUAUGCUACAGGCAACAGUAUUUUUGAAAUUGAUGAAAUAUUUGUCAAUUUUGAUGAUAUCAGAUUUAA